AUCUAGUUAAUACUUUAUGGUCU
rnacentral:snRNA from 1 species